rnacentral:tRNA from 1 species
GGGCAGGUGGCGGAGCGGUCAAUCGCAACAGACUGUAAAUCUGUCGUCCUCUGGACUUCGGGGGUUCGAAUCCCUCCCUGCCCA